UUUUUUUUUUUUGGUCUUUUUGUCUUUGUUGUUGUUGUUGUUGUUGCUAUUUCUUGGGCCGCUCCCGUGGCAUAUGGAGGUUCCCAGGCUAGGGGUCGAAUCGGAGCUGUAGCCUCUGGUCUACGCCAGAGCCACAGCAACGCGGGAUCCGAGCCGCGUCUGCAACCUACACCACAGCUCACGGCAACGCCGGAUCGUUAACCCACUGAGCAAGGGCAGGGACCGAACCCGCAACCUCAUGGUUCCUAGUCGGAUUCGUUAACCACUGCGCCACGACGGGAACUCCCAGAUUUUUUUUUUUUUAAUGGCUGCACUUGGGGCAUAUUCCCAGGCUAGGGUUGAAUCAGAGCUCCAGCUGCUGGCCUACACCACAGCAAUGUCAGAUCCGAGCCACAUCUGAGACCUAUGCCACAGCUCAUGGCAAUGCCAGAUUCUUCAACACACGGAGCAAGGCCAGGUAUCGAACCUGCGUCCUCUUGGAUACUAGUCUGGUUCAUUACUGCUGAGCCGCAAUGGGAACUCCCUAGAUUACCUUUUUUUUAGCGUGUUGGUGGGAGGUGAUCUCCAUGUCCCACUCUUCCACUGUCUUGAUCUCGCCUCAAUUAUGUUUUUAUUAUUUCUUUACCUACUUUUAUGCUCUAAUUAUUGCAUAUCAAAAAUUAUAAUAAAAAUAUGUUCAUCAAUACUUUACAGGAACUUUUAGUCUUUAGAUAAGGUUUGUUACACAAUUAUUUAUCUUUUGUGUAUUUAAUAUUACUAUUAUUAGCCACGUGCAUGGCUUAUGGAAGUUCCCAGGCUAGGGACUGAAUUAGAGGCACAGCUCUGACUUACAGCAGAGCUGUGACAAUGCUGGAUCCUUAACCCACUGUGCUGGGCUGGGGAUUGACCCUGCGCCUCAGCAGCAACCAGAGCCACCACAGAGACAACCCUGGAUACUUAACCAGCCACACCACGGUGGGGAUGAUGUUUUGUGUAGUUUUGUUUUGUUUUGUUUGCCCCCCAGCAUAUGGACUUAGAUGGAUCCUUUAACCCACUGUGCCAGGUUGGGGAUCAAACCUGCAUCCUGGUGCUGCAGAGGUGCUGCUGAUCCUGUUGAGCCACAUGGUUUGGAUCAGCAAGGGUCUGCACCUGGGACUGGCAGAGUGGGUUAAAGGAUCCAGCAUUGCAGCAGCUGCCACAUGCUUCAGCUGUGGCUUGGAAUUGAUCCCUGGUCUAGGAACCUCCAUAUGCCUCAGGUGUGGCCAUAAAAAAAGUGUUGGAGUUCCUGCAGUGGCUCAAUAGGAUUGGCCGUGUGUGUCUGAAGCACUAGGAUGCCAGUUCAAUCCCUGGCGCAGUAGGUUGAUGACUUGGCGUUGCUGCAGUCGUGGUGUAGGUCGCAGCUGUGGCUCAGAUCUGAUCCCUGGCCCAGGAACUCCAUGUGCCACGGGGUGGCCGUAAAAGAAAAAAAAAUGUUGAUCAACAUUUUCUAGGCACUUUUAUUCCUUAAAUUUUUUUUGGUCAGAGAAUUAUUUAUCUUUUGUGUAUUUCAUUAUUACUAUCACUGUGAGGUAAUCAGCUGUUCAUGUUUUGGGAGAGGGUCUUUCAGAUAUAAAUACAAGCAUUCAAGCACUUCAGUAAAUACAUGCACAUCUUUUCAAGUUAGUGUUUUCAUCUCCUCCAAAUGAAUACCUAGAAGCAGAAUUGCUGGAUCAUGUUAGCGCUGUUUUUAAUUUUCUGAGGACCCUCCAUGCCAUUUUUUAUACUGGCUGUACCAACAGUACACAAACGUUCCCUUUUUCCAGAUCCCUGCCAACCCUGUUAACAGUUAUUUUUGUCUUUUUGGUAACAGCCAUUCCAGCCAGUGUGAGGUGACACCUCGUUGAGGCUUGGAUUUCUGUUUAUCUGAUUAGUGGUGGUGAAUACCAUUUCAUGUACCUGCAGCUGUGUCUUCCUUGGAAAAAUGUCUUAUUCAGAACCCUGUCCAUUUCUAACUGUUUUGGUUUUUUGCUACUGAGUUACAUGAGUUCUUUACAUAUUUUGGAUCUUAAUCCCUUAUGAGACAUGUAGUUUGCAAAUAUUUGUUGAUCAAUAUUUUCUAGGCACUUCAACUCCUUAGAUUAAGUUUUUGUCAGAGAAUUAUUUUUUUGUGUAUUUUAUUAUUUUUUUGGCUGCGCCUGCAGCACAUGGAAGUUCCCAGGCCAGGGAUCAAACUCAAGCCACAGCUGUGACAACACUACAUUCUUUAACCCACUGAGCCAGGCCAGAUAUCGAACCUGGGCCUCAGCAGUGACCUGAGC
rnacentral:lncRNA from 1 species